rnacentral:rRNA from 1 species
UACGAAGGGGGCAAGCGUUGCUCGGAAUUAUUGGGCGUAAAGCGCACGUAGGCGGUAUUGCAAGUCGGAUGUGAAAUCCCUCGGCUUAACCAAGGAAGUGCAUCCGAAACUGCAGUACUUGAGUACGAAAGAGGAUCGCGGAAUUCCCGGUGUAGAGGUGAAAUUCGUAGAUAUCGGGAGGAACACCAGUGGCGAAGGCGGCGAUCUGGGUCGAUACUGACGCUGAGGUGCGAAAGCGUGGGGAGCAAACAGG